rnacentral:rRNA from 1 species
AUUGGACGCUGGCGGCAGGCCUAACACAUGCAAGUCGAGCGGAUGACGGGAGCUUGCUCCUUGAUUCAGCGGCGGACGGGUGAGUAAUGCCUAGGAAUCUGCCUGGUAGUGGGGGACAACGUUUCGAAAGGAACGCUAAUACCGCAUACGUCCUACGGGUGAAAGCAGGGGACCUUCGGGCCUUGCGCUAUCAGAUGAGCCUAGGUCGGAUUAGCUUGUUGGUGAGGUAAUGGCUCACCAAGGCGACGAUCCGUAACUGGUCUGAGAGGAUGAUCAGUCACACUGGAACUGAGACACGGUCCAGACUCCUACGGGAGGCAGCAGUGGGGAAUAUUGGACAAUGGGCGAAAGCCUGAUCCAGCCAUGCCGCGUGUGUGAAGAAGGUCUUCGGAUUGUAAAGCACUUUAAGUUGGGAGGAAGGGUUGUAGAUUAAUACUCUGCAAUUUUGACGUUACCGACAGAAUAAGCACCGGCUAACUCUGUG